rnacentral:rRNA from 1 species
CCUACGGGAGGCAGCAGUGAGGAAUAUUGGUCAAUGGUCGCAAGACUGAACCAGCCAUGCCGCGUGCAGGAAGACGGUCCUAUGGAUUGUAAACUGCUUUUAUACAGGAAGAAACCCUCCCACGUGUGGGAGCUUGACGGUACUGUAGGAAUAAGGAUCGGCUAACUCCGUGCCAGCAGCCGCGGUAAUACGGAGGAUGCAAGCGUUAUCCGGAAUCAUUGGNUUUAAAGGGUCCGUAGGCGGUCUUAUAAGUCAGUGGUGAAAGCCCAUCGCUCAACGAUGGAACUGCCAUUGAUACUGUAAGACUUGAAUGCUUAGGAAGUAACUAGAAUAUGUAGUGUAGCGGUGAAAUGCUUAGAUAUUACAUGGAAUACCAAUUGCGAAGGCAGGUUACUACUAAGUGAUUGACGCUGAUGGACGAAAGCGUGGGGAGCGAACAGGAUUAGAUACCCUGGUAG